rnacentral:lncRNA from 1 species
GCUUCCCUAAUAGUCUUCAGAAUUUUGGCAAAAUCCAUCGCACAAAUCAAAAGGUCUUAGCAAUUCAUUUUUUCUGGUUUCCUAUGGGAGGCCCACUCACCUUAACUAAAUAAAGGGCAUCUAUAUAGAGGGAGAAACUUGGAACUUUGAUGUUGCGUUUCUAAUUAUUAGCAUAUCAUUUUAGAUGCCUGAGACUGCCAUGUUUCACAUAAUUUGAUAAUUGCAUUCAGUGACAAAACAGAAGUUUCACUGCAAAGCAAUGUUUUAGGCAUAUUCUAUCAAAUAUCUUUUUUUAAAUAAAUUUGGUAGUAUUAGUAAUCAAACUCAAUACAAAGAUCUUAUACAGUUAAUGAGCACACACAAGCUAGACUGACACUGGCUAGCUAUCGCGAAGCUUGCCGAAGUGAAAGGUCUUUAGUAGCAGUUUUAAAUGUUUUUUUGUCUUGGAAAAACGCUGUUGUAUGUUCCAUGGUCACUGCACAUCAAAUGUCUUUGACAUUUGUCAUCUGGAAAUGAAUCCAUAAAUAAACCACUGUUUUAAGCACUGCUUUUGAGGUUUCCAGGCUCACAUAAGGAGCAUUGCAACAAGACGUUGAUUCCCUAUAUAAGCCUGUCUUUUCAAACUAAACUUCGUGAUAAUUAAGCAUUGCAGAUAUGCCUCAAUUAGGAGAUAUCCGUUUAAAAAAGAAAAGUGCAUGAUUUGAGCGGUUUACCAUUUGAAAUUCUAUUAAAAAAAUAAACCGCAUUGCAUUAAUGGUAAUGUUCCAAGUAACUUCUGUGUACUCACAUAGCAUAUGUACUCCAAUGAUGCCAUUCUUGCCUGUUAUGUUUUGUUCUGGUUAACCAUGUUUACUCCUGUUUUUGUUCUCAUGUCUAUCCAUGUUCUCACUCCGAUGAAGGCCCAAUCUCUUUCUACUGGAACCAGCUGUUUAAUGGUGCCAAUUGUCAUUAACCCGUAGAUCCGAUCUUGUGGUGAAUUGUACUGCACAAGCUCGCUUCUAUGGGUCUGUGUCAUUGUGGUAAUCUGGCCAAAGAUUAAGUAUCAAGCUGUCUGCCGAUAUUUGAAUGCAUUCCGGGAGUUGACUUUCUGUAAUGUUGAAAGCCUUUUCCAAUGUUCUUAUAAUAUGCAUAGUUUACCUAAAGAAGAUAUUUUCAUCAAUUUGGAUUUAAUGUUGCCUUAUCAGUUAGUUUUAACAUAUUUGCAGUACAUGUACUGGCAGGUACCUUUGUAAUGCCUGUUGAGUAACAGUUGGGUCCAUUAUGCACUGUAAACAUUAAAUGCAUGGUGCUUUAUUUUAAAAUAGCAGUUGUGUUUUGGAUUUGCUACUUGUAGUUCUUGCUUUUCGUGUCGGAGUUUGGUAGAUGAAAAGAACAUAGAGACCUUGUAUAUUACAAGUUGCCACCCAAACAAUACAUUUUCCAUUACAUUUAUAGUCAAUAACAGCAGCUGUUUAACCAUGUAUUGUAUUUUUCAAAUGUAACACACAAAAAGGGCCACAGGCUUUCAAAUGCCUUGCUUAAGGACGUUGCAAGGCAGAAGCUUGGUCAGCGUUGGAAGCUGUGUGCAUCCGGGUUGAGGUAGUAGGUUGUAUGGUUUAGAAUUAUACCCUGGGAGUUAACUGUACAACCUUCUAGCUUUCCUUGGAGCACACUUGAGCCAUCUGGCAAUAGUUCAUCACAUAAUUGGAAAGUGACCUAUGCUGUAAAAAGUGUGUCAAUCCCAAUAUGUACUGAAAAAGAUCUUCACUACGGAGACACAACUAACAGUUGCAGAAUCCAACAAAAACAGAUAUUGACCCCAGAUAAUUGUCUGAAUGCAUAUCAAGUUAAUGUGUGGCAAUGAAUUCUUCAAUACCUUUGUCCAAACUAUGUUAAGUUUUAGAGGAGUUGGGCUACUUUCUUUAUGGAAAAUUUAAAGUUGCUGUAUCAUUUUUGUUUUUGGCUUUCAUGCGAAGGGUAUUGCUUAUAGCCAAGCUGCAUGCCUUACGUUUGUGUCAACAUUGGCUUUGUUUUUGUUGCUUGAGUGCACAUUGUGAAGAUUGAGAAAAUACUGUGAAACUAUGGCAAUUAAAAUGUACUGUGGUCCUAGAAUGACAUUGGGAGGGACAGUCAGCAUCAGCAUAUAAACUGAUGUUGAGUGUUAAUUACAAUUUUCGUAACUCCAGGUGCAACUGAUAACCAUCGCUACAAUGGGUGUUGGCUCCCAUUUACUUUUUAAAGAAAAUGUAACAUUUCUUUUUCUUAAAGAAUAUUUGUCUAAUUCUGCAAGUGUUUCCGCUUGUCUGAGUCUAAUAAAGCAUAGUCUAACCUUUUGUAGGCUUAGAUCUAAUUUGAAGAGGUCCAUACAUUGAAGCAUUAUACUCUGCAGCCUAAUUUUUGAAAAUGAUCUCUUAUCACUGCAGAAGUUUUACCGGUUUUUCUGGUAGAUAUAACUUGGUUUAAUCGUUCAGUAACUGCAUUUUUUAUCAUUCGCAUCAGAGAAAUCUGUGACCUGCAAUAUCCAGGUUAUAAUACAGACAACACUGCCACACACAAUUUUGUAUACAAGCUGUUGCUUUUCACAAAUAUUCAUUUGCUAAUCGUAAAUCAACCUUUGUAUUGUAAACUUUUUGACAAUGAACAUCUUUUCCAAUAUACACGUAGGCAAAUAACAGGUUGGUUACAUUGGACUCGACACUGGUGCCGAAGGCUAAACCUUCUCGUUGACAGCAUGUACUUUAAAAAUAGUUCUCUAAGUGCUAUUUUCACGUUUCAUAUUUUAAAUUGAUUAGGUGUAGGUGUUUUCCCUUCUUGUUAUGUACAGCAGUUGUAUGGCUUUAAUUGAUUCCCUCCUUUGGUAUUUUUGUAUACAGCGAAAUUAUACUAAGCCAUAUAAGUAUAUUUUUGUCUGUGUACAAUAUUAAAGACUCCUGUCAGAGUACCCCUGAGUAAGGCCAGAGAAUACUAGGGGGGACUGAAACAUGUUGGGCAGAAGAAAAUGAUCGACUGCUUAAACAAAAGAAAAUGCUUUAAGGGAUACAGUGGUGUAAAUGUACAGUGCAUACCAUGUUUAACAGGGCAACAUUUAUGAAAUACUUUACACAGCAGUGUAUCUAGCAAAUUGAUAUAGAAGAGAGCACAAUUAUUGAGUAUGCUUCGUAAAUGUAUUGCAUAGAUGCUUAUAUGUCCAUGUAGAAACCCCCACUUUUCUGUAUAAGCUAGGAAUAUUUAAUUAGUAAUGAGUGCUAUAUGAAGAAUCAAAUCAAUGCAACUACAAUUAAUCUGAAAACUAUAUUGGAGUGCCCUAGUGCUUUCACUCUGUUCAUAGACGUUGUUAAUGGAAUAUUCCCAUUCAAGUAUAAUCCUUCAAUGAGUGUUAUGUUUUGUCUGAAAUAGAACUGUAUGAAGACUUAUUGGGACAGCAUUUUUAAUUAGUUUUCAGGUUACCAGAAAAGCGCAGAGUUUAAAUUACAAGAUAGAUUAUAAUAGAAAUGUGUGAAUCCGGUAGGAUGCAUUGUUUACAAGGUUUUCAUUUCAGAUUUGUUAUUUUACAUUUUAACAAAUGUAGUGAACAUGGGCUCUGGUUAAUUUGAUCAUUGCAAGAUGGUCCUUUUUCGCAUAACAUAUUUAACCUCAUACACUAUUUUGACCUUUGCUUUUGUAAUCCCGGUUACAUGUCUGGAUUUCAGUUGACUCAAUUUGCUGUAUAAAAGGCUGUUUAUGCUAAUUGGCAAGAACCAUGC